AAGACCACAGGGAUUACCUCAGUAACGGCGAGUGAAGCGGUAACAGCUCAAAUUUGAAAUCUGGCCUCACGGUCCGAGUUGUAAUUUGUAGAGGAUGCUUCGAGCAUGGUCUGGCCUAAGUUCCUUGGAACAGGACGUCAUAGAGGGUGAGAAUCCCGCAUGCGACCAGGUGCCUACGCUCAUGUGAAGCUCCUUCGACGAGUCGAGUUGUUUGGGAAUGCAGCUCAAAAUGGGUGGUAAAUUUCAUCUAAAGCUAAAUAUUGGCCAGAGACCGAUAGCGCACAAGUAGAGUGAUCGAAAGAUGAAAAGCACUUUGGAAAGAGAGUUAAACAGUACGUGAAAUUGUUGAAAGGGAAGCGCUUGCAACCAGACUUGCGCGCGGCCGAUCAUCCGGUGUUCUCACCGGUGCACUCGGCCGUGCUCAGGCCAGCAUCGGUUUUGGCGGCUGGAUAAAGGCCCUAGGAAUGUAGCUCCUCUCGGGGAGUGUUAUAGCCUAGGGUGCAAUGCAGCCUGCUGGGACCGAGGACCGCGCUUCGGCUAGGAUGCUGGCGUAAUGGUUGUAAGCGGCCCGUCUUGAAACACGGACCAAGGAGUCUAACAUCUAUGCGAGUGUUUGGGUGUCAAACCCAUACGCGUAAUGAAAGUGAACGGA
rnacentral:rRNA from 1 species